rnacentral:rRNA from 1 species
UGGGGAAUCUUGCGCAAUGGACGAAAGUCUGACGCAGCCACCCCGCGUGGAGGAUGACGCAUUACGGUGUGUAAACUCCUUUUCUGGAGGAAGACGACUGACGGUACUCCAGGAAUAAGCGACGGCUAACUACGUGCCAGCAGCCGCGGUAAUACGUAGGUCGCAAGCGUUAUCCGGAUUUACUGGGCGUAAAGCGUCCGCAGCUGGUUUGGUAAGUUCGCUUUUAAAUAUCCUGGCUCAACCAGGAAAA